rnacentral:lncRNA from 1 species
AUCAGGGCUGGCCCUAGAGCCUGGCUGCUGAUUCUGCAGACAAGUGUACAGAUAUAUAGGCACAAAAUAUGCCCACAUGAAUGAAAAAGAUGGCUGCAACCUCCUCAGGUUUAUUUGAAGCUGAUCCAUUGAGUGGGAGUGUCUGUUCCUGCCAUUUACCAGCUGUUGUAAGAGAAUGAAAAGUUCCAUCUGAGACUGUGAUCGUUUAAUGGCAAUGGCCUCUGCAGUGCAGCUCCAUGGAGGGACAGGGAGAAUUCUCCAGGAGAGAGAGGAGGAGGAGAAGGAAGAGAAUACCAAAACUUGAUCAGAUGUUACAGAGACAGAAGAAAGGCCACAGAAAUCUGGUGCUCAAAUUAAACGGGAACUGCAGUAGUAUAUAACUCAUCCCAAAUUGUUGGAGAAUGAGGAGCUCUAAAUUAAUGCAUUUUUAGACAAUUGAAAGCAAAUGCUUUUUCCCAAAAAUGGAAACUUCUAACAGAACAUUCAUCAUUGUUCCAUGCUGUAAUGGAGCUGUGUCCAGAGGAGGCAUGUAGAGCUAUUUGCCCUGAAACUAAGAAUCUAACUGACCCUCAACUAAUGUGUUUCUCUAUUUGGGGACACUCUCUCUCUCUCUCUCUCUCUUCUCUCUCCAUCUCUGUCUCCCUCUCUCUCUCUCUCUGCUACCAGCUGCCACUUCUCAGUGGGCCAUCUCCCAAGCAUCUC